rnacentral:rRNA from 1 species
UACGGAGGGGGCUAGCGUUGCUCGGAAUUACUGGGCGUAAAGGGCGCGUAGGCGGAUGUUUAAGUCAGAGGUGAAAGCCCAGGGCUCAACCUUGGAACUGCCUUUGAUACUGGACAUCUUGAGUAUGGGAGAGGUGAGUGGAACUCCGAGUGUAGAGGUGAAAUUCGUAGAUAUUCGGAAGAACACCAGUGGCGAAGGCGACUCACUGGCCCAUUACUGACGCUGAGGCGCGAAAGCGUGGGGAGCAAACAGG